GGAUCUUCGUUUAUCUGAUUAAAAUCAGCAACUUCUGGGAAAUGAGGCUGCCAUAAAUUCCCUCUUCAGGGAGGGUCUACUUUCAGAAGGAAGAACUGAAAUAUACCUCCCAUAAAUCCCCCGGAGUUUUGUGGCCCUGAGAAAGACAGAAAGACCACUUUUCUUGAGGCUGAGACGUCCAAGAUCAAGGUAUCAACAUCUGAUGAGCUGCUGCUUGCUUUCAAAAUGGUGCCUUGAAUGCCAUGUUCUCUUGUGGGGAAUGCUGUGUCCUCACACGGCAGAAGAUGGAAGGAUGACCUCAAACAACUCUAUUUCCUUCAGCCAGGCUACAGUCCUAAGCUGCAUAAUUGCCUCCAGGCUGUUCUGACCUGAAGUGCCUUGUUGCUGGUGGCAAGAGAGUCAAGAGCCCAGUCUGCUUCUCACUACACAUCCACAUCAUCGCCUGACUCAUCUUGCCUCUCACUUGAGUCUCAGUCAAUGACAAAGUGGUAAAAGGUAUUUUAUUGGAACAUUGCCACACUCGUUCAUUUAUGUACUCUGUGGAUGUUUUUAUGCUACAACAGUGGAGUUCUGCAAGAAGAGCUGCAGUAUCAUCAUCAUCACUUUCUUCUUCAAAAUCUUCAUCUUCUUCCUAAAAGAACAGUGAGAGCCCAGAAGAUUGGAGGGAAUAUAUACAUUACCAAAACACAGUACAUAUAUACAAUGUAUCACCCUAAGAAAGUCAAAACAAUUUUAUGUAGCUCAAAAUAACUUUAAGCAAGCAAGUAAUCAAAAGUGCAAAAAACUGUGCUAAAUUCUCAGAAGAAAAUAAUUUCAAAUAAAUAAUCAUUAAAUUUCACUUGAAAUUA